AGAGUUUGAUCCUGGCUCAGGAUGCAUGCUGGCGGCGUGCCUAACACAUGCAAGUCGAACGAAGCGCCCGCGCGGAUUCCCUCGGGAUGAAGCGCGGAUGACUGAGUGGCGGACGGGUGAGUCACGCGUGGGCAACCUGCCCCGUGCCGGGGGACAACAGCCGGAAACGGCUGCUAAUACCGCAUGAUCCGGGAGGGCCGCAUGGCCCUGCCGGGAAAGCUCCGGCGGCACGGGAUGGGCCCGCGUCUGAUUAGUUUGUUGGCGGGGUAACGGCCCACCAAGACUGCGAUCAGCAGCCGGCCUGAGAGGGCGGCCGGCCACAUUGGGACUGAGACACGGCCCAGACUCCUGCGGGAGGCAGCAGUGGGGAAUAUUGCACAAUGGGGGAAACCCUGAUGCAGCGACGCCGCGUGAGCGAGGAAGUAUUUCGGUAUGUAAAGCUCUGUCAGCAGGGAAGAAGAAUGACGGUACCUGAAGAAGAAGCACCGGCUAAAUACGUGCCAGCAGCCGCGGUAAUACGUAUGGUGCAAGCGUUAUCCGGAUUUACUGGGUGUAAAGGGAGCGCAGGCGGCACGCUAAGCCUGAUGUGAAAACCCGCGGCCCAACCGCGGGAGUGCAUUGGGAACUGGCGGGCUGGAGUACCGGAGGGGCAGGCGGAAUUCCAGGUGUAGGAGUGAAAUCCGUAGAUAUCUGGAGGAACAUCAGUGGCGAAGGCGGCCACCUGGACCGGUAUUGACGCUGAGGCGCGAAAGCGUGGGGAGCAAACAGGAUUAGAUACCCUGGUAGUCCACGCUGUAAACGAUGGAUGCUGGAUGUCGGGGAGUAAUCCCCGGUGUCGUAGCCAACGCGAUAAGCAUCCCGCCUGGGGAGUACGGUCGCAAGGCUGAAACUCAAAGAAAUUGACAGGGGCCCGCACAAGCGGUGGAGUAUGUGGUUUAAUUCGAAGCAACGCGAAGAACCUUACCAGGCCUUGACAUAGGGUGCGAAGCUGUGGAGACAUAGUGGAGGUAAACAUCCAUACAGGUGGUGCAUGGUUGUCGUCAGCUCGUGUCGUGAGAUGUUCAGUUAAGUCUGGCAACGAGCGCAACCCCCGCGCGCAGUUGCUAACGGGUCAGGCCGAGGACUCUGCGCGGACUGCCGGCGCAAGCCGCGAGGAAGGCGGGGACGACGUCAAAUCAGCACGGCCCUUACGUCCGGGGCGACACACGUGUUACAAUGGGGGGUACAGCGGGAAGCCAGGCGGCGACGCCGAGCGGAACCCGAAAGCCCCUCCCAGUUCGGAUCGGAGCCUGCAACCCGGCUCCGUGAAGCUGGAUUCGCUAGUAAUCGCGCAUCAGCCAUGGCGCGGUGAAUACGUUCCCGGGCCUUGCACACACCGCCCGUCA
rnacentral:rRNA from 1 species